rnacentral:tRNA from 1 species
CGAGAUGUAGCGCAGAUGGUAGCGCGCCUGGUUUGGGACCAGGAUGCCGCAGGUUCGAAUCCUGUCAUCUCGA